rnacentral:rRNA from 1 species
CCUACGGGUGGCAGCAGUGGGGAAUAUUGGACAAUGGGGGAAACCCUUAUCCAGCGACGCCGCGUGAGGGAAGAAGGUAUUCGGAAUGUAAAGCUCUGUCAGCGGGGACGAUAAUGACGGUACCUGAGGAGGAAGCCACGGCUAACUACGUGCCAGCAGCCGCGGUAAUACGUAGGGGGCAAGCGUUGUCCGGAAUUACUGGGUGUAAAGGGAGCGUAGGCGGGAUAGCAAGUCAGUAGUGAAAGGUAUGGGCUCAACCCACGUACUGCUUUUGAAACUGACCGUCUGGAGUGAAGUAGAGGCAAGUGGAAUUCCUAGUGUAGCGGUGAAAUGCGUAGAUAUUAGGAGGAACACCAGUGGCGAAGGCGGCUUACUGGACUUUAACUGACGUUGAGGCUCGAAAGCGUGGGGAGCAAACAGGAUUAGAUACCCCUGUAGUC